rnacentral:misc_RNA from 1 species
GAACGCACAUUGCGCCCCUUGGUAUUCCGGGGGGCAUGCCUGUUCGAGCGUCAUUUCAACCCUCAAGCACUGCUUGGUCUUGGGCAUCGCCGGCAACGGCGGGCCCCAAAAACAGUGGCGGCGCCAUCGUGCUCUCAGCGUAGUAAUUCUUCUCGCUGUUGGGUCCCGGUGGACGCUGGCCAGCAACCCCCAAUUUUCUAUGGUUGACCUCGGAUCAGGUAGGGAUACCCGCUGAACUUAAG